rnacentral:tRNA from 1 species
GAGGUUGUGGCUCAGUGGCAGAGUGCUUGCCUAGCAUGUGUGAGUCACUGGGUUCGAUUCUCAGCACCACA